rnacentral:tRNA from 1 species
UGGAUUAUAGCUCAGAGGUAGAGUGCUUGCCUAGUGUGCAUGAGACCCUAGUUUUGAAUCCUAGGGAUUCAA